CAACUUUUAUCUGUGGAGUGAUUUUCAAUUUUUUUUCUUGAAGAGUAGGUAAAGUAUUUUUGUAGGGAAAUUGAGAGAGUGAAAAAGUGAGUGAUCUGGAAAAGAUGAAUGUGUGUUGUGCGUGAUGGAGAGGGAAAGAGUGAAUGAGAGUGCGUCGGAGUGGUGUGAGGUUGCGUGAGUGUGAGAGAGAAAAAGUGAAUGCGAGAAUAAAAGAGACAAAACAUAAAGUGAGAUGAGAAGAACCCUAAAUGUAUAUUUAAUCACUAUCAUUUUACUUUACUGUACUGCAGUUUAUUGUAUACAAAAUUUGAGAGGUUUGGUUUGAGAAAAAAUGUAUUACAAAUUAUAGUUAACUCAUAAUAUUUUUAAUCUUUGUUUUAGAAAAUUUGAACAAAUUUCAGAGUGGUAAGGCAUCGACGAGAUGGGACUCAUAGGCUAGGAGUCUCUACUCGAUUCAAGGUAUAAAUGCAAGGAGCCAGAAUAUUUCUCUUUUGAUACCGCAGGCAUUCAGCAUUAAUGCACCUUCUCUCUCAUCUGAAAUCAACAGGUAUUUUUCCAUUUUCACCACCUCUUGUUUUCUUUGAUUUUUUCAAGUAACUUUUAUCAGAGUAAGUAUCCUUCCACUUUUCACAUAUUUUAAGUCCAACCAUCUGCUUCUGAUAUAUGUUAGUAUUCUUUGUUCUCGGAAGUUUACAACGGUUGGUUGCCAGAAUUUUUGGGACGGCAAAGAGAAGUAUUAGAGAACAAUGAUUUCGGCAAUUUCAUGGAUACCAAAAGGAGUAUCAAAAUCAGUACCCUUGGUUCUUGAUCAUUCUCUCCAAGAAGAUCUUGAAGAAUUUAUCCCUCUCCAAUCAGGUGAGUGAGACUACGAAUAAAGAUGAAGAUGUGGUGGUGUAGUAUCUGACAACAUAAUCCAUGCCUUGAAGGACCUGCACAUGGAACGUUAUGAUGAUGAGGAUGAACGUAUUCAUCUAUUUAUCCAUAUUUUGCCUCAUUCUUUUUCUCUGUUAUGUCAUUUUCUCUUGCAGCUUAUAUUGAUUACAUGAAUAAGUAGGAUUUGAGUUGUUUAGUUCGGGGACCGGUGAUCUAUACUAUCCAAUCAACAACAUGGAUCCAUAUCUGAAGAUAAAAAAUUUAGUUCAACACUUCUAUUAUUACACGUCUGUUCAGUUUUUGAUUUUAUGACAUUUGUUGUCAGGAUUAUGAUUCUGAAGAACUUGAAGACAUGACCAAAUUGUUUAUUGUGAUAAAAGUAUAUUAUACAUUUUUCUAUAUCUGAUUAGACAUUGCUAGACUUAUGAGUAAUUUGUUUAUGCUCUAUCAGGUUUCGAUACUUGAGAACAGAGAAAAGGACAUGUAUCGUCACCAUGGGUUUCAAAUUUCAGCAUUCCCAGCUUUGCACCGCUUGGCUUGAUUGCCCCUUUCAAGGAGGAGACAGAGGUAAAAAAACUGUGAUUUCUUUGUCAUGUAUUAACUAUUUGUUUUUGGAAUUAUGCUUUUAUUUUUCAUAUGAAAAUUGAAUAUAAUGGUUACUGGUCUCAAUCAAACAAGUUCAAGCUUUAGAUCGUGAAUCUUUUCAAUUAGGUAAACAUGUUAGAUCUUUCUUUCCUUAAAAGUCUGAUAGACAUUGUAAUUCUAUUUUUUCUAAUAUUUAUUAUGAAAUAUUUGAGGAUAAGGGUGUCACUUCCUUUGAUUUUAAUUAUUUUAUAAACUUCAUUGAUGAAUUCUCUCAAAGUACUUGGGUUUAUUUAAUGAAAGACAUGUGUGAAUUUUAUUCAUAUUUAUCUCUUCAAUGAAAUUAAGAAUUGGAAAGAUAAUAAAAAUUCUUAAAAGUGAUAAUGCUAAGGAGUAUUUUUUUCUUGUGUUUUCUUCAUUCUUAUCUUCUGAAAUUUUACAUAAGUCAACAAAUUCUCAUACUCUACACUAAAAUAUUAUACAGAGAGGAAGAAUAGAUAUCUUAUUGAAAUUGUUCCCUCUCUAACGCUCAAUACUAAUGUUCAUGUUCAUCAUACAGUCCUCAUUGUUUUUUUUCUGAUGAAUAGGAUGUGUUCUUCCUCCUUGAAAAUAAAGUUCCUUACUCUUUAAUUUUUCCUAAAGCCUCUAGAUCAUGUCUCUCCAUGUGUUUGGAUAUAUUUGUUUUGUUCAUAAUGUUUCUCUAGAUCUUGACAAGCUUUCUAUAAAAGCUAUUAAGUAUGUCUUUUUGGGAUAUUCUCACUUUCAGAAAGGAUAUAAAUGUUAUUCUCCGAUAACUAAAAGGUAUUAUAUAUAUGUUGAUGUUACCUUCGAGGAAAUGCCUUUUUUCUUGUUCUCCAUAGAACAUUCUUCAUUUAAUAGGUUCUUCAUGGACCAUCUUGUGAGAUAUGUGAGAAACUAUGCUCUGAUUAAAAGCUGUCCAAAAUCAUUCCAAACAUUCUCCUGAAAAUUAGUUACAUUCUAAAAUGGAACAUGUUAUCACUUAUCUGUUUUAGUCAUAUGGAAGUAGUUCAUUUCUCUUUUAUUUUAAAAUUUAAGCAAUGAGUUUUUAGUAAUAAGUACGUGAAUUUAAUGUCUGUGUCAACUGCCCGUAUUUGGAGGAUAAGAAAGUAUUCUUUGAAGCAUGUAUACCUUGAAACUUACAUUACAUUAUCAGUGUCUCCUUGUAAGUCAUGUGAGAAAUUCUGCUGAUUAAAAAGCUGUCCAAAUCAUUUCAAACUUCCUCCUGAAAGUUUAGUUACCUCCUAAAAUCUUACACAUUAUCACUUGUCUUUUUUAGUCACAUGCAUCUAUUUUUUUCUCUCCAAAAUUUAAGCAAAACUUAUCAGUAAUAAGUGUGUGAAUUUGAGUUUUAUGAAUAAUUUUUAAGAGAUAUAAAAUAUAAACUUACAAAUUUAUAAUAUUUAAAUAAUAAUAAUAAAACAAAAUUAAUUUAUUUAUUUCUAUCUUUUUAUUAAUUAAUAUUAUUAUUAUGUAAUAUAUAUAUAUAUAUAUCAAGUUGACACAUAGUCAUCUGAAACAUGGUAGUUGAAUAGAGAUAUAAGUAAUGUAUCGAAGAGGUGAUUUUCUGAAUCUUGUAUUGUUUCAACCAUGGUUGUUGCUCAGGGGAAGUCUGAUUUAGUUUGUAAAAUACAUCGAUGACUUUAUAUGCUAUUGAUAUUUUGGAGGUGACAAGCCUAACAAAUUGCAAGCCUAUUAGCAAUUCUAUGGAUUCAAAUUAGAAAUUAAUAAGAGACCAAGGUGAACCCUUUUCAGACCGAGAUAGGUAUAGGAGAUUGGUGGAAAAACUCAUUUAUCUCACUAUAAGAAGACCUGAACUUUCUUAUCCACUGGGAGUUGUGAGUCAAUUUAUGCAGAACCCUCACAUUGAUCAAUGGAAUGUUGUGAUUCACACUCUCAGAUAUGUAAAGGGGAUCCUAGGAGAUCAGUGGCAUGUUUUGAUUCACAUCCUCAACUAUAUAGAAGGGACCUUAGGACAUACUGGGGAAAUACACAAGUCUUAGGGUAUUGUAAUGCAAAUUGGGCUAACUGUCCCAUUGACAAGAGAUCUAGCACAAGAUAUUGCAUAUUCUUUGGGGGAAUCUUAAAUAUUGGAAAAACAUGAAACAAAUUGUUGUUGUCCGGUCUAGUGUAGAAACUGAAUAUGGAUCUAUGACUUUAGCUACAUGUGAACUUGUGUUGUGUGGAUUAAACAACUCUUUCAAGAGUUAAAAUUUUGUAAAAAUAAGUAGAUGAAUUUGUAUUGUGACGAUCAAGAAGCUCUCAUUGCCUCCAAUCCUGUGUUUCAUGAGAAACAUAUAUAGAUUAAUUGUCAUUUUGUUAGAGAGAAAUUGCUCUCCAUGGAUCUUAUUAGUGAGUUUGUCAAUUUUAAUAAACAAUUUGCGGAUAUUCUAACUAAAUAUCUAAGACGACCUAGGAUUCAAUUUAUAUGUUUCAAGAUUUGUGCAUAUAACUUAUAUGCUCCAACUUCAGGAAUGUUAAAAUGUAAUGUUAUUUUAUUAUUAUUUCUUUUAUAUGUAUCUAGCUUUAUGUUUAGGGUUUAAGAUAAGUGUUGCCAUAUUUUUUAGAUUGAGAAAGAGAUAGCUCACUUAGUAACAUGAUAUAUAAUUUUUCAUAUUACUGAUAUCAUGAAAGCAAUCAUAUAUGUAUCACUAACUCCUCUCACCACCAUUUAAAUCAUUUGUUAGAAAGAAAAAACAAAAUUAUUCAUUUACUAAUUCAUUUGGCAGGACAAUAAUCUUGAUCUUUUUUUAUAUUCUAUUCAACAUCACUACAAUCUAAUUGUAGUUUUGAAACAUUCUGUAAUCUUCAUUGUCUAUCCUUUCUUAACUGAAAAUUAAUUAUUACAGGAACAAUUUACUGGAGUGAUAUGAAUGAAUUAUGGAGAAAAUAAUAUCUGUUACUAUGUUCUGAUUUAUGCUUUCAAAUAUAGUAUUACUGAAAAUCUGAAACUCUUUUCCAAUCUUUGUAUUUUGGCACGUUGGUGGGCUGUUUGACAUUCUGUUGUUGCUAACCUCCCAAAGUUUGCUCUUCGAGAUGACAGGGUGGUUGAAAUCGAUAUUGGGGGAGAUGACAGUUGAAAUCAGUGGAACUGCUUCUCAAGUCCAAACAGCUCAGUGAUCUUGGUCUUUUAAUCAACUUUAAAAAAUUCAAUCCGUAAGAUGCUGCAUGUCUUGUAAAUAUUUUUUUCAGUUAGAUUUCUAUCUUAUUAGUAGUAUGAUUUUUUUUUUUAGUGAACAGCUUUUUGCAGUGUUCAUUUGAGAGACCUAAAAUAUUCAUUGCAUUUUGAAUUUCAUCAAGAUUUAUAACUAAAAAUGGAGAAAACUAAAGCUAGUUGAAUUUCAAAAUUACAGUUACCCAUCAAAGUAUCAUCUGAAUAAAAAAUUGGGAGUAAAUUUCUAAUUUUUCUUGCAACCUUCCUAUUCAGCUUCUCAUUUAAUUUUCAAUCUUUUGUUUCUAUGAGAGGCUGAGGGUUUUCUGAAUUUGAUGCUUGUUAAACCAAACAUGCACUUUCCCUACCGUGAUUAGUAUGCAUGGUAAUCAAGCAUUACGGUUAAUGAAUGUGGUGCAGAAUUUUAUGGCUGAAGCUGCAGCCGGUGGAGCACCAGCACAGCCGCAAGCAGGUGGUACUGCUGCAGAGCAAGGAUACAAUUCUUAUCCAUUGUUAGCAAGGAACCUUGCUUUACGUUUAGCCUGUUGUCUUAAUAAUAAUUACAUUUAUACAGUUUUCUCCUCUCUCUGUAAGGUAUUUUUCCUAGUUUUUGUAACAGAUAAAUCGAUUCUCA
rnacentral:lncRNA from 1 species